GAUGAAGAACGUAGCGAAAUGCGAUAAGUAAUGCGAAUUGCAGAAUCCGUGAGUCAUCGAGUCUUUGAACGCACAUUGCGCCCCCUGGUAUUCCGGGGGGCAUGCCUGUCCGAGCGUCAUUGCUGCCCUCAAGCACGGCUUGUGUGUUGGGCCUCCGUCCUCCUCCCGGGGGACGGGCCCGAAAGGCAGCGGCGGCACCGCGUCCGGUCCUCGAGCGUAUGGGGCUUCGUCACCCGCUCUUGUAGGCCUGGCCGGCGCUUGCCGACACAUCAAUCUUUUUUCCAGGUUGACCUCGGAUCAGGUAGGGAUACCCGCUGAACUUAAGCAUAUCAAUAAGCGGAGGA
rnacentral:misc_RNA from 1 species